ACGAACGCUGGCGGCGCGCUUAACACAUGCAAGUCGAACGGAGAGGCCUGCUUUCCCUUGUGGAUUGCGGGUACUCGAGUGGCGAACGGGUGAGUAACACGUGAGUGAUCUGCCCCCAACUUGGGUAUAAGCCUGGGAAACUGGGUCUAAUUCCCGAUAGGACUGCAGGGUGGUGCCUGUGGUGGAAAACGAUUUUCUAGUGGUUGGGGAUGAGCUCGCGGCCUAUCAGCUUGUUGGUGGGGUAAUGGCCUACCAAGGCGGCGACGGGUAGCCGGCCUGAGAGGGUGGACGGCCACAGUGGGACUGAGAUACGGCCCAGACUCCUACGGGAGGCAGCAGUGGGGAAUAUUGCACAAUGGGCGGAAGCCUGAUGCAGCGACGCCGCGUGGGGGAUGACGGCCUUCGGGUUGUAAACUCCUUUCGACCGCGAGGAAGCCACCUGGUUGGAAGGGUGGUGACGGUAGUGGUAGAAGAAGCACCGGCUAACUACGUG
rnacentral:rRNA from 1 species